GGAUAGCUCAGUUGGGUAGAGCAGCGGAGUCACCUCCGUGAGACGCGGGUUCGAAUCCCGCUCCACCA
rnacentral:tRNA from 1 species